GUUGAAGAACCUUCAGAAGAACCAGAAGAUGAAGAAGACCAAAAAGAGGAAGAUACAGAAGAAGAGUCAUCGGAACACGAUGAAUUAUGAAAAUCGAACAUCAUAUAAUUCCAUAAUUUUUGUAUUUAAUCAUCAACAUUCUUCAGUCAAGUGUUAAAACAUCUGUUGACUAGAUGUCAUUUCAAGUUCCAGUUUGAAUGUUUAGUGUUCAGGGCAGUUAUUCUGUGAAUGGCUUCCAUAGAAAUUCAAAAUGUGAACUCUAAUUAUUUUUCUUUAGUACAUUCAACCAAUACAUUUCCAUGAACUGUUGAAUUGACUUUUGUACAAAUCUUUUCAGUAUAAUACUGUAUUUUUUGUUUACUUAACUACCAAAAAUUAGACAAAGGUACAUUUUUAUGUCUACUUCAUUAACUGCACAAUUUUUUUGUACAUUGGUAUGAAAAUUAAAAUAAAAAGUGAAAGUUGAAAUUCA